rnacentral:lncRNA from 1 species
GAUCUUCGAGGAGGUGGCCACGCGGAGAUUUUGGUGUAGACUGUAUAACCUUCGACAGUCCACCAUAGAGUACUCCAAUUCCGAGUCACCAUUGGACUGAAAGUCUUACACAGAUCACUGGAUGCGGACGGACAUAUGGGAGGCCCUUUGCAACCAGUGGAGUACUGAGAAGUACUCUAAUAAGCAGUAGAGAGCAUGGUAGAAUCGGUCCACCCAGC